UUUCAAUUAUGUUGUAAGUCACUCUGGAUUAGAGUGUCUGCUAAAUGACUAAAA
rfam:Salmo salar isolate Sally breed double haploid chromosome ssa13, whole genome shotgun sequence.